ensembl:snRNA U6 U6 spliceosomal RNA
ACUCAUUUUGGCAGCAUAUACUAAAAUUGGAAAAAUACAAAGAAGAUUAGUAUGGACCAUGAACAAAGAUGACACGUAACUUUGCGAACCAUUCCAUAUUUUU